rnacentral:rRNA from 1 species
UCAGGCCUAACACAUGCAAGUCGAGCGGAAACGAUGAUAGCUUGCUAUCAGGCGUCGAGCGGCGGACGGGUGAGUAAUGCUUAGGAAUCUGCCCAGUAGUGGGGGACAACAGUCGGAAACGGCUGCUAAUACCGCAUACGCCCUACGGGGGAAAGCAGGGGAUCUUCGGACCUUGCGCUAUUGGAUGAGCCUAAGUCGGAUUAGCUAGUUGGUGAGGUAAAGGCUCACCAAGGCCACGAUCCGUAGCUGGUUUGAGAGGAUGAUCAGCCACAUCGGGACUGAGACACGGCCCGAACUCCUACGGGAGGCAGCAGUGGGGAAUAUUGGACAAUGGGGGCAACCCUGAUCCAGCCAUGCCGCGUGUGUGAAGAAGGCUUUCGGGUUGUAAAGCACUUUCAGCAAGGAGGAAGGCUCUAAAGCUAAUACCUUUAGGGAUUGGCGUUACUCGCAGAAGAAGCACCG